rnacentral:tRNA from 1 species
UCCGGUAUAGUACAGUUGGCUAGUAUACCUGGAUAUUCUCCAGGGGGCCGGGUUUCGACUCCCCGUACCGGUCAU